UACGAAGGGGGCUAGCGUUGCUCGGAAUCACUGGGCGUAAAGCGCACGUAGGCGGCUUUUUAAGUCAGGGGUGAAAUCCUGGAGCUCAACUCCAGAACUGCCUUUGAUACUGAGAAGCUCGAGUCCGGGAGAGGUGAGUGGAACUGCGAGUGUAGAGGUGAAAUUCGUAGAUAUUCGCAAGAACACCAGUGGCGAAGGCGGCUCACUGGCCCGGUACUGACGCUGAGGCGCGAAAGCGUGGGGAGCAAACAGG
rnacentral:rRNA from 1 species